AUGCAAGAAAUACUCAGAGGUCAUUUGCCAUUCACUGCUUCUCGUGCAAGAGUAUAUGUGUGCACAUCUGCUCUGAGAGGAAGAAACUACAGAUAUGGGCGACAUCCACUGCCAGGUGGUGCAGUACAAUGCAUAACUAUCCUGGCCUUCUGAUGUUCUGGCCAGCAUCUUCCAUCAGCAUCACCUGUAAGCCACUGUCACUGGCUUCCAAGUAAAACUAUUUUCCAGCUGAUGUGUUCACCCUUUUGAAGGGAAGGAAACCCUCCAAAAGCAAAUGUUAAUUCAUACCUAGGAAGUUAACAGCACAGAUGCACUCUGGAACAAAAUGUAAGCUUUAGGAAAUGAUCAGGGUUGACAAACUUGCCAUUAAGCAAAGUAAGGUAACUGCCUCAGACUGGAAACAGUCUUGGCAGUCACCCAAACUUUCCUCUGUUGGAGAAUACAAGAUAUGUGUGCCACUUGACUUGACCUAAACUCCCUAAAGUAGACUUCUGCCCUCAAGGAUCAUGAAGGACACUGUUUCAUUGACACCUCUCAGGUAAAAUUCAAUGGCCAAGUCUCCUUCUGUAGACAGACUGUGAAUGCCAUCUUGUCCUUCAGUUCCCUCCACCAGUAAACUGUCAUGGAUUGGCUCUGGGCAUGACACCUACCUUUGUGUGAAACUGGCCUAGCUUAUUAUGGCUCAGCUGUCGGGUCAAGUUCAAAAGAGGACUUUCUGUAGUCUGUAACAUUUGUAGAGGAGGGUGGGAUUCCAUGAGAUACAGAGUUCUGUUGCAAAUAUGUGCCUGGGAAAGCCAUUCUUAAUAAACCACUUUUUUCUACGCAGUUGGAGCCCAAGUGGUAAAAGGUCUGAAAUACAUCUUCUCCCAACCAUAGUAGUUUAUCUAAUCAGCAUAGUAUUACAAUUAAUAUCUUGGUCUAGGAGGGAUGUGUUCUGGAUAGAAAUCCCUUUGUGGCUAUGAAACUCAUUAGGUAUCUCUGGACCAGCCAUUGGCUCUCAGUCUAACCUACCUCA